GGGAACCGGAACAGAAGCCAUUGAAACACGGCGCGGCGCCUGGCCGCAGCAGGGCUCGGGCCGCCGCAGAGCAGCGGGGACGCCGCGCCGCACCUAUGCGUGUCCGGAAGUCCGCCUCCCACAGUUAUGAAGCUGGAUGCUGAUGAACACCUGUUUCCUCACAGCAGCUCCAUCCACCCGGGGACUUGUAGCAGGUGAUGAGGCUGGGAGUGGGCAGCAAGGACCAGACAGGACAGCACUGGACAGACUCCGAGGGCCCCGGGCCUUGUCUGGGCUCCGCCACUAGAGCCAGGAAGAGGAAUUUCAACUCGUCUCUUCAGCGGCCAAGUGAGGGAUCUGCAUUCUAUGGUCAGAAUCCCACGGCGGAUCUCUGUGACAUCCAGGCAACUGAAAUAAGAGUGCAGACUCCCCUGGCACCUGUCCUGUGGCUGGGCAGUGCUUACUGCCCCAUGAAUGCCCCCCCCCCUUUUUCCAUUUUGAACUGACACUUGGGGAGUAUGCCUGUAAGAAUCAGUCUCAAGUGUACGGUGACUGUGGUGGCCACGUGAAUUCUCACAGACAUUAAAUUGCACAGAACUGAAUACACACAGGAAUGCGUGUAAACUGGGGGAAUCUGAAUAACUUGGUGGGUUGUGUCAUUGUAUCAAUCUAUACUAAUAAUAGCCUAGGUGGCAUCAAAGAUGGCUAUGCACACAGCCGAGGCUGAGCGGCGAGGCCUGGGGACCCCCCAGGUCUGUCUCCACUGAGGAGGCAGGUCCAGGCAGAGGAGGGCAGUUGGGGGUAAUCAGGCUGGCAGGCAGAAGGGUUAGGGGCAAUCAGGCAGGCAGGUGAGCGGAUAGGACCCAGAUUGUGAGAGGGAUGUCCGACUACCGUUUAGGGAUCGGGCCUAAACCGGCAGUCAGACAUCCCCGGAGUGGUCCCAGAUUGGAGAGGGUGCAGGCUGGGCUGAGGGACACCCCCCCCCUCCCGUGCAUGAAUUUUAUGCACCAGGCCUCUAGUGUUUAUAUAUUGUGCUAUAAUUUUGCAAGAUGUUACCACUGGGAGAAGUAGGAUCCAGGGUGCAAAGGAUGUCCCUGUGUUCUUUCUUACAACUACAUGUGAAUCUGUAAUUAACUCCAAAUAACAAGAGGAUCUGAUAAGCUAAAAAAUAAAGGACCACAUCCAUGCACCUAGAAUUUUUGCAAGUCCCCCUGUCCCAAAAUAGCCACCCGCCCCACCUCCCGCAAGGUGGUAUUGGCUUAAAUUUCAGGGCUGAAAUUCAGGCCACUAGAUUCGUUAAAGCAGGGACAAUGAUUUCAUCGUCUCCAUCAAUUCCAACCAAAGUGAUUUUUAACACUUUAUGUUCAUUGUGUAAUCAUGAUGAGAUUACCCAUCUGUCACUUGGAAGGGUUCUGCUGUUCAUUUCUUGAACUUAGGUGCAAAUGGACAUGCAUCCUUACUUAACACCAUUUUGAGUUGUUUUGUUUUUUAAUCCUCACUUGUCCGAAGAUUUUUUUUUAUCGAUUUUUUAGAGAGUGGAAAGGGAGAGAGAAAAAGAAACAUCCACGUGAAAGAGACACAUUGAUUGGUUGCCUCCUGCAUCAGCCUCCACCAGGAUCAAACCUGAAACUGAGGCACGUGUCCUUGACUGGGAAUCGAACCCAAGAUCCUCUAGCCGCUGAGAAGCACUGGCCAGGUCAAGUUGUUUGUUUUUAAUCUUCACAUUAGGCAUCCCUCCCAGCUUGGCAUCGUUUGAAUAUAUAUAAGGCUGCUUUCCACAUUGAAGAAGAGGCUCCCACACCUGAGACUUGCAUGCCUAGAAUAGGUGCUCAUAGGCGUAAAAGGCCACGGCCAGCGUGGCUUUCGGGUUCAAAGGCUUGGAGAAAGAGAUGACGUGCAAAUUGACACACAAGACAAGAAAUAUUAAUUUUGAAAUUAUGGGGGAAGCCAGGGAAAAACUCGACUGUAGUAGUCAAGUUCCACGGAGUCUCCGUUCCCUCCUGCUUUUAUUUACUAGAAUACACAAUUGCCUUUUAGGAAUGCUCACAGACAUAUCAAUGGUAAUGUUUAGUAAACAGUAAGAUUGUCAAGUUUGGGGGGAGUUUGCUUUAGGCCACUGAGUCAGCAGUAGGUAAUAAAAUGUAAAUAUUCACCCUGUGAAUAUCAAAGGAGUCCUGGUCAGCCUUCUGCCAGACUCCUUACAUUUGUAUUAAUGGUUGUUGAUCUUGGUUUCCAGCACAUAGGGUUCUCUCUGCCCGUUCAGAAGACUGCAUACCCACCAUCCUGAUGUCUUCUGAGCAAUAAAGCUGAAUGUCCCAGGAGCGGGAAGCCCCACCGAUCCAGUGUGCCCCUGGCUGCGUCGUGUUUAGAAAACAAAGCCAUCACCUGUAGAAGUCCAUGCUGCUUCUAUGUUAUACUAAACCCUUCCAGACAGGCACAAGGGGCCUUGUUACUGAAAGGGAAACGAGGCGUCUCCACGGAGACAGAGGGCAGGCGGGAGCCACAAUCAAGACCCGAUUCUUCAGCAUCAUGCUGGUUGUCGUUACCUGUUGAUUGCCAGAAUCAUCAAUGAAGGCCUUCUAUUCUACCUUGAGAUGCAACCGGAUAUCAAUGGAGGUGCUUUGAAAUAUGUCAGAAAUGUGAGACUUCUGGAAAGAUGCGGCCCCCACAAGGUCAACCUGGGAGUGGGAGUUUAUCACAUGGAUGACUACCAGCCCUGGGUAUUGCCUGUAGUGAGGAAGGUGGAGCAGAAGAUUGCUGACUACAAUAACCUAAGUCACCAUCCUGGGCCUCCCGGAGUUCCGGACCCAUGCUUCCUGCCUUGCCCUUGGGGAUGACAGCACAGUAGUCCGGGAGAAGCAGAUAGGUGUGCAGUCUGUGAGGGAAAGAGGGGCACUUUGAAUGGGAACUGAGUUCUCAGCACAAUGGUACAAUGGAACAAACAAAGACACACCUGCCUACAUGUCUUCACCAACCUGGUGAAAAGGAAAGUGGAGCGGCGGGGGCUUGCAACCUGGUUUAGUAUCUGGUUAAAACUGUAGUCUUACUUCCCCACUCUGACUGACGCGGGCAGAGCUGCGGGGACCCUCAGGGGCCCGCCACAGGAGAAGAUACAUAGGUCAAAGCCUUCCCAGGAGUUCAGUUCAGGCUUUGGAUCCAGAAUUCCCCUGGCCUAGCAGAUCCGCAAAAUAAAAGGUAAACUUUCCUCCCUCGGAGUGCGGGCUGACCGUUCGCCCGUGCCUUCUGCCACUUUUGGUACAUCGGCCGGGAAAAACAUCAGUUGAGCUGGCUCUUAGGCCACUGCUGACAAGAGUGGGCUUCGGGGCACUUGCUUCGGCCUCCGAGACCCAAGGAAGUUGUGCCCCCGGCACGCCGGUGCCUGAACUCGGGGGCCCCAGAGGGACUGCGGUGACGGUGCUCUCGUGGACUCAAAAGAGGCAGGAAACACCAUUCUGGGCCUUCCCAGGAGGGAAGUCAAAACUCGGACUGGCUCAGGGUAUGAGGCUAGCCUGCCUUUGGAAAAGGUAGAAGGGAAAUGUUCCAGGCCGUCUUCCACUGCCUCCCUUCAGAGACUUGUUCUGUAUCUCUGCGCAAUUGAAACUGAUUUGGUGGACAGGGUAUUCUGUGGUGUGAAUGUGGCAUGCGCCGGUGUAAAAGUGUUUAUUUACUGUUGGGGUUUUAUGUUUAUUUUUUUCUGUUUUGUG